AGUGAACGCUGGCGGUAGGCCUAACACAUGCAAGUCGAACGGCAGCACAGUAAGAGCUUGCUCUUACGGGUGGCGAGUGGCGGACGGGUGAGGAAUAAAUCGGAAUCUACUUUUUCGUGGGGGUGAACGUAGGGAAACUUACGCUAAUACCGCAUACGACCUACGGGGGAAAGCAGGGGAUCUUCGGACCGUGCGCGAUUGAAGGAGCCGAUGUCGGAUUAGCUAGUUGGCGGGGUAAAGGCCCACCAAGGCGACGAUCCGUAGCUGGUCUGAGAGGAUGAUCAGCCACACUGGAACUGAGACACGGUCAAGACUCCUACGGGAGGCAGCAGUGGGGAAUAUUGGACAAUGGGCGCAAGCCUGAUCCAGCCAUACCGCGUGGGUGAAGAAGGCCUUCGGGUUGUAAAGCCCUUUUGUUGGGAAAGAAAAGCAGCAGGUUAAUACCCCGCUGUUCUGACGGUACCCAAAGAAUAAGCACCGGCUAACUUCGUG
rnacentral:rRNA from 1 species